UUUUCCACCAGUUUUAUAAAUAGCCUAUUGAAAUGUCAUGGAACAUUCCUGCCAUGGGAAUUUUAUGUAUUUCCGAUCAUUAUUUAUGAAUACUGUGGGGUGGGUCAAAAAAGAGAAAAAAAAGGAAGAAAGAAAAGAAAAAAGAAUCCUCCUGUGGGAGUGAGAUGUAGCUUCUAGUUUUCUUUGGCAUUUUAGUUCUCUUUGACAUUUUCUUAUUCUAUUCAACCCUUCAGAUCAAUUUCAUUCAACUCCUUGCUCCGAUGACGGAACUAGUGACUAUUGAUCAUGGAAUUCAUUAUUCAUGGACUCCACUUUCUGAACUUCGAAGAAGCAUCUGUUGGGAGUUGUGUAGACUGUAGAGUGCAUAAUGAAAAUUUGAGGAAAGCAUUAGCAACCCAACACUGCCAGCGAUGGUAGUUAUAUGCCCAAGUUUUCAAUAUCUUUUCACUGGCCUUGGAUUCUUGAUUUGUCUCAUUUGAUACUGGAGUUGGUAUAGAUAAGAGGAAAAUAUCCUUGCUUUGUCAGUCAUCAAGUGACUGCUGCUUUUUAAUGUCACACGACCAACUUGGCAGUUUUUUUAUUUAUAUUUUUUAUAAUGGUGUCUCAUAGUUACAUGUGUUAUGGCUGUGCGUGUCAACAUCAAGGUAUUUAAAAACAGUUGCUUAACAGUAAUGGUGGGAACCGUUACAUGUUACGGGCGGCCGGUAAUACUGUUAUCGGAUAACUUAGUUGACAAGGAUGCGUGUGUUGGUGGCAGACAACUGAAAUAUAUAUUGACGAAAAGGACAGUUGCCUGAGUGGUGGCCAUCAAAUGGCUCCUGCAUUUCUCGUGGAAUGCAAAAAAAAUGACUUUAACAUCUUUACCCAUUUUCAUUUAUGGCUUUGGAUGUGUUGGUGUCAGAAAAACACAAGGUGUGACUUGUGAGACAUGGUCACCUUGAUAUAUUUGAGAUUGGGCACCCUCAUAGAGGACCGGAUGUGUUUUUCAUCCUCAUCAUUCUCACCACCAUCAUCAUGGUCUUGUCCAGCUAUUUGGGUUUGGUGAGUGAACAAUCCCUAAUAUUCCUUCUCAGGCAAUUCUAAAUGCCCCAUCAAUGGUGACUGGUGAGUGAACAAUCCCUAACAUUCCUUCUCACCGAAGUCCUUUUUGGGCCUACCUUCCGUCCUUUUUUCAGGUCCUUAAACAGUUCUAACCUAAUCAAUUUCACUUCUUAUUGGAGCCAUCUCCUGUGAGAAACCUGCAUGCACCCACACACACAUGGGUUCUCAAACCCAUGACCUCAGAUUUGAGACACACGGUGUCUACCACUGAGCCAUGAUGGAUGGCAAUGUUGAUGCUAAUGAUGUUUUACAAAUGAUUAUGAUGAUGUUCACACAUAUCGAUAGUUAACCUGCAACCACACAUCCAAAUACGUACUAGAAAUUAGACCAUCUAGUGGUCUGCUCCACUUUGAAUGGAUCAUAAACAAGCAGUAAAUAAUGAAAUUAUAUCAUAAUAUUAGAGUCAUGGAUACCUGAUGGACGGCGUUUUGUUUAUCUAUUUCAAUCCUGGAAUGGCACAUUGUUUUCCAAACUGAGUAAACUAAUACAGUGUUUGCUGACUGAGUUCAAAGUUUGUAGAGAACAAAACUUAAUUGGUAUUUUUUGUUAUGAUAUUUUCUUUAACCAGUUCCAAAAUAGUUCUUAUAUCCAAAUAGCUCCUUAGUCUCUUUCCACUUUAUUGUUGUUUUGGAACUCAGGUUAGGAUUUCCUAAAAAUCACAUGGCACAAAAUAUAGUUCUUGAUGCCUCUUGAUGUCUUCCGUAAUAUUGAGCUUAUUUUGAUCUUGCAAAUUAUCUUACUCUUUGGAAGCCAUUCUUAUUUCAUGUUUUGAACCCAUUCUUCCCAGUAUAAUUUGGCUGGUAAGAGAUAUUGUUCCUUCUACUCUUUGAAAAUAAGACAAUCUUUGAAGCAGUCUGUAUAAUCCCAGUAUCCACACACUGGGGGAAAAGAAAAAGGUGCCUUUGGCAGCUUGCUAUGACUAUGAGUAUCUGGCAAAAAUAUGGAAAGAGAGAACUAGUAGAAUAUUUUUCUAAUAAAGGUACCUCAGUUGGAGAUACUUUUUCCAGGGUUUGGUAUGAAUUGUAAGUUGGAAUUCAGCGCUAAAAUAUUUUAGUGGAUAUUCCAGCGAUCAAAUUUAACUUUGUUUCUCUUUAUAUGAAUAGUAAGGAAAAUUUUAUUAAAGAGAGAAAAACUGGGUAGAGGCCAAAUCCAAGGACACUAACUGAGACCAAAAAAGAGAGAAAAAAAAAGAAAA